rnacentral:lncRNA from 1 species
ACCUCUUGCGUGGGCUUCCCGCAGCGGCCACGUAGAGACCUUUCUGUCCCGGUUCAUAAGCGAACCGAGACUAAAGAUUUUGGGCUUUAGUACCGGUUCCAGAACCGGGGCUAAUGGGUCUUUAAAACCGGGACAAAUGGAUCAUUUUCUACUAGUGUACUUUCAGUUAUGUUCAUCGUAGUCAAAAUAAUGUUAGUGAUUUUUUGGCCAAAUUUGCUAGAACUAAGAGUAGAACAAUAGUUUGGCUUAACUCUGGACUAUAAGAGGUCAGUAAACUUUGUAAUGCAGGCUGUGGACUUCUCACUUGAGUAACACAAAGUUUCACACGAAAAAAAAAGGCUGAAUAUUUUCUAGUUGACGCACACGGCCAAGCUCGCCUGACCUUGGCCCAACACCAGCCAGGCUCCUCUGACCUUGGCCACAACACCACCUCUACCGAUCGCCGAGAAACAAAAGCAGGCUGUGGACUUCUCACUUGAGUGACACAAAGGAUUCUUCUACAUACUCCGUACAUACUUGGCAACACCAGCAGAAAGGAGCAAGCCCUCCCUGACUUUGUGGCCUCGCCGGAGCUAACGCGGCCAUGACAAGGAUUGAGUGUAGGGAUAUAUUUACCUCACCCUCCUCUGCAUGAGAUCCACCGCCAGGACACACUAUAGCCCACAUACAACUCUCUCCCCACUCUCCACAAAUGCAGUACGGCAUCCUCUACGCAACCUCUGGCCACCCAGAACAGCUCACGGUGGCGUGGGGCAUUGACAGUUUUGACCACCCGAAGCCCUCCUCACGAGUUGCCUCUUUUUUCUCCAAG